UACGUAGGGGGCGAGCGUUGUCCGGAUUCAUUGGGCGUAAAGCGCGUGCAGGCGGCCUGGUAAGUCGGCCGUGAAAGCGCCAGGCUUAACCUGGCGAGGUCGGGCGAGACUGCUAGGCUGGAGGCCGGUAGAGGGCGGUGGAAUUCCGGGUGUAGUGGUGGAAUGCGUAGAGAUCCGGAGGAACACCAGUGGCGAAGGCGGCCGCCUGGGCCGGUCCUGACGCUGAGAUGCGAAAGCGUGGGGAGCAAUCCGG
rnacentral:rRNA from 1 species